rnacentral:rRNA from 1 species
UACGUAGGGGGCUAGCGUUGUCCGGAAUCAUUGGGCGUAAAGCGCGCGUAGGCGGCCCGGUAAGUCCGCUGUAAAAGUCCAGGGCUCAACCCUGGAACGCCGGUGGAUACUGUCGGGCUAGAGUCCGGAAGAGGCGAGUGGAAUCCUGGUGUAGCGGUGGAAUGCGCAGAUAUCAGGAGGAACACCGGUGGCGAAGGCGGGUCUCUGGGCCGAUGACUGACGCUGGAGGAGCGAAAGCGUGGGGAGCGAACAGG